rnacentral:rRNA from 1 species
UACGUAGGGGGCAAGCGUUGUCCGGAUUUAUUGGGCGUAAAGAGCGUGUAGGCGGCCUUACAGGUCAGCUGUGAAAACUCGAGGCUCAACCUCGAGACGUCGGUUGAAACCGUAAGGCUAGAGUCCGGAAGAGGAGAGUGGAAUUCCCGGUGUAGCGGUGAAAUGCGCAGAUAUCGGGAAGAACACCCGUGGCGAAGGCGGCUCUCUGGGACGGUACCGACGCUGAGACGCGAAAGCGUGGGGAGCGAACAGG